rnacentral:rRNA from 1 species
GACGAACGCUGGCGGCGUGCCUAACACAUGCAAGUCAACUUGACUGAAGGAGCAAUCUGACAGUAGAGUGGCGCAAGGGUGCGUAACGCGUAAGUAACUUGCCCAAGGUAAGGAAUAACGUCGAGAAAUCGGCGCUAAUACCUCAUAAUGCAGCGGAUCCGCAUGGAUAUGUUGUUAAAGGUUUACCGCCUUGGGAUAGGCUUGCGUCUGAUUAGCUAGUUGGUGUGGUAAACGGCACACCAAGGCUACGAUCAGUAACUGGUCUGAGAGGAUGAUCAGUCACACUGGAACUGAGACACGGUCCAGACUCCUACGGGAGGCAGCAGUGAGGAAUAUUGGGCAAUGCUCGAAAGAGUGACCCAGCAACGCUGCGUGGAGGAUGAAGGUAUUCUAUAUCGUAAACUCCUGUGAGAGCAGACGAAAGACAGAUUAUUAAUCUGGAUGACUGUAUGCUCAGAGGAAG